rnacentral:rRNA from 1 species
GAUGAACGCUGACAGAAUGCUUAACACAUGCAAGUCGACUUGAAUUUGGGUUUUUAACUUAGGUUUGGGUGGCGGACGGGUGAGUAACGCGUAAAGAACUUGCCUCACAGCUAGGGACAACAUUUGGAAACGAAUGCUAAUACCUAAUAUUAUGAUAAUAGGGCAUCCUAUAAUUAUGAAAGCUAUAAGCGCUGUGAGAGAGCUUUGCGUCCCAUUAGCUAGUUGGAGAGGUAACGGCUCACCAAGGCGAUGAUGGGUAGCCGGCCUGAGAGGGUGAUCGGCCACAAGGGGACUGAGACACGGCCCUUACUCCUACGGGAGGCAGCAGUGGGGAAUAUUGGACAAUGGACCGAGAGUCUGAUCCAGCAAUUCUGUGUGCACGAUGAAGUUUUUCGGAAUGUAAAGGGCUUUCAGUUGGGAAGAAACAAAUGACGGUACCAACAGAAGAAGUGACGGCUAAAUACGUG